GCCUAGAAAGGGAGCAUAGUUCUCUUGGGUUCCCGCCUUGGUGGAGAGGACUCUAGGCUCAGAGCUGCUCUGUUACAAUGAGCAGUUUGAUUUGCCCUUGCCCUUCCCAGACAGAAGACCCUGAUGGGCGCUAGCUGCUCAGAUGAGUUGGUCAUACCCUGCCAUUUUAUUAAAGCAUCUGACUUCCUUCAGACAAGUUCUCCUGAGCUGGGAUGAAUCCGUUCACGUGGGGCUUGGAUCUGAGUCCAUUCAGGAAUUGGUGCCUUGUGGAAUCUGGAGUUGCCAGGCCUCUAUAUGGCCAUUGGCCCUGAUCGCAGCAGUCCAUGGGCUGCCCCAACUGGCACCUGGCUGCCAGCAGCCUGUAGAGGAAUUCACCAGGGAUCAGAUCUGUCUGAGUGACCAGGGGUCAGCCUAUUGCAGAGCUGGCAGGGCUGUGGGAGGAAGCCAUCCCUGUGCUAGGGUUAGGGGCUGUCAGACACCGCUUGCUGGCACUAAAUGCACUUCAAGUCAAACAAGAAAUGGAAAACGCUCCAUUGUGAGCACCCCACAGCUUCAGUGCCCAAGGGAGGAAAAGGCACAUGGCUGCAAGCCAAGACAGCGCCCUCCUGUUUCAGGUGGUCAGACAGCAGCAGCCCAGAGAGAAUCUGAUCAGCCAGCAGGAUCUUACACAGCGAAAAGAGACUUGGUCUCGCCCCAGCCCACGGUGCCGCUGUGUGGGCAAAACCAAAACUUUGCAGAUGGCUUUACUGCUUGUGAAACUCUGGUUGUAGUGCUGGGGUGCUUACAGAGACUGUGAACGUGCUGUUUAUCACAUAAUGCAUCAAGGCACCCACCUCCAGCACUGUGUAUGGAACCAGCCAGCGAGUGCUGUUAAUAACAAAGAUAGCGGCCAGCCCACGAGCGCAGCCUCUCGCAAUUCCAAUUGCCCUGCUGCUCGGGAUCUGAUCGAGGACAUAUUGAGAGCAACAGGUUCAUUUCCUGCAACUGCCCUGCCAGGACAGAUUGUUUUAUAAGCAAACCGAUAUCCGCUCCAAAAUAACCCUGCAUAUGUUGCAUCAUCAGGGUAAGAUUUCUGGUUGCUUCCAGUAAGACAUUAACUUAAUGCAUGAAAUAUGAUUUCAGGCAGCUGUCGCUGGUUGGAUGCGGUGAGUGUGUGUGAGACAGGAGCUGUGAGUGGGAAAUCACUUCUGCUGGUGGCAGCACUUCUCACUGGCGAAAGCUUAUUAAAAAAGGGGGGAAAAUCUGAAAUUGGACAAUUAGCGCCCCAAGGGCCGAGCUCUGUUACAUAUCAGAACCAUCCUGCUGCCUCCCCUCCCCCCCCCCCGCACACCAGAGCAGUGAAAGACCCAGUACAGGCUGUGCUGAAUGUUGCAUUCUGCAUUAGGAGAUCUGUCUGGAUUCCCACCCAGUACUUUGUCCAGGAGCCUGCCCACUGAUCCACGAUUGCCAAAGACACCAAUUGCUGCUCAUUUAAUGCUUUAAAGACAGGGGCUGGGGCUGGAGGAGUCGGAUCAUUAAUCUCUUUUUCUCCUGCUACACCUGGGAGACAGGGCUGCCUCCCCAGCCAGGUCAAGGACCAGAAAGGGUGUGGUCAGUCCCUGCAGGAAUGCCCCUGGGCAGGGGAGGGUGCUAAAUGCUCACACAGGCAUCAUUGCACUAUGCCCUCAUGUAAGCCGCCCCAAAAGGGGGGGAGGAGAUGGCACUGUGAGUAUGCUUCCCUUCCACACUGCUUCAGCACUGGCCUGGCUCUGCAAGAGCAUCCAACCCUGGAGAGCCACUAAUUGCCCAAUGCCGGAUUGCGACUGCCUUUUGAUGAAGUCAACAGAUCCUGCGCCCCCCUAUGUCCAUUAUGUUCCGUGGGAGGGGACCUAAAGAUGACAGGAAGAAGGUGCCACGGCAGAGUGGGAUGGUAGAAGGAGGACACA